AAACCCAGGCAUCUAUGGAGAGUUUCAAAUGAUGUCUUCAUUAACACCACCACACAACAUUAAGAAUCUACAACAGCAGAGACUUAACUUGUUGCAGCUUGAAUUGUGAAGUUGAAAUAAAAACACAAUUCCCCCUACUAAUUGUGGAGCAUGUGUAUCUUUCACACAUAGAAUCAUUUCUCAAAGUAUCAUUAUAAAUACAUGUGCAACUUAGAAAUCACAUAUCAGGUUUAAAAUGUAGGUUACAAACCAAAUUUUUUCCUUUUCAAUUUAAGGCAAGUGUGAAGUGAGUGGGCCAUAAACCAAAGGGGAAAAAUGAGGAUUCAUAAUGUACAGUACAGACCACCAAGGAAAUAAGUCCUACAACGCCAAUUUUGCGACGUAAAAUUUUACUCGAUACCAUCUACGUACAAAGGUUCAUCCAAACAAAGGAUGAGGUAUCACACAAUUUAUGAAAUUGCGUCGAGUGUGGUAGAAUUUGAGUAUUAUCAUGGCGUGCAAUAUUGAGUCAUCGAUCGUGGGACUGGAACGCAAUAAACGACAAAGUCCUCGUCCAGCUUCGGUGAACUUCGGAUAUGUUCCGACGGUUUCCCGAUGGAUAAACUCUUCGAGAGGAUGGCUCACAGUUCCGGAAGUUUCUGCAUCCACCAAAUUUUCAGGACACUCCUUCAAAUUGGAUAUAACAGAUUACCAAUAGGAGGAUUUCAAUACUCAACAGAAAACAAGAUAAUUUGAGUAUUUACAUCAAUAUGUGUAUGUUUAUUUACAAAUGAAAGUGUAACAGAAGUUUCAA